rnacentral:rRNA from 1 species
CCUACGGGGUGCAGCAGUAGGGAAUCUUCCACAAUGGGCGAAAGCCUGAUGGAGCAACGCAGCGUGGGUGAAGAAGGUCUUCGGAUCGUAAAACCCUGUUGUUAGAGAAGAAAGUGCGUGAGAGUAACUGUUCACGUUUCGACGUUAUCUAACCAGAAAGCCACGGCUAACUCCGUGCCAGCAGCCGCGGUAAUACGUAGGUGGCAAGCGUUAUCCGGAUUUAUUGGGAGUAAAGGGAACGUAGGCGGUCUUUUAAGUCUGAUGUGAAAGUUUUCGGCUUAACCGGAGUAGUGCAUUGGAUACUGGGAGACUUGAGUGCAGAAGAGGAGAGUGGAAUUCCAUGUGUAGCGGUGAAAUGCUUAGAUAUAUGGAAGAACACCAGUGGCGAAAGCGGCUCUCUGGUCUGUAACUGACGCUGAGGUUCGAAAGCGUGGGUAGCAAACAGGAUUAGAUACCCGAGUAGUC